rnacentral:rRNA from 1 species
GGAAAAGAAAAUAACAAUGAUUUCCCUAGUAACGGCGAGUGAAGAGGAAAGAGCUCAAAGUUGGAACCUGUUUGGCCUAGCUAAACAGGAUUGUAAACUGUAGAAGUGUUUUCCAGGCAAUCCGAGUUAAUAAGUCCUUUGGAACAGGGCAUCAUAGAGGGUGAGAAUCCCGUCUUUGAUUCGAGAUAUUUUGUCUUUUGCGAUACACUUUCAAAGAGUCAGGUUGUUUGGGAAUGCAGCCUAAAUUGGGUGGUAAAUCUCACCUAAAGCUAAAUAUUGGCGAGAAACCGAUAGCGAACAAGUACCGUGAGGGAAAGAUGAAAAGAACUUUGAAAAGAGAGUUAAACAGUAUGUGAAAUUGUUAAAAGGGAACCGUUUGGAGCCAGACUGGCUUGUCUGUAAUCAAUCUAGGUUUCGUGCCUGGAUGCACUUGCAGACUAUUUGCCUGCCAACGACAAUUUUUUUUGAGUGUAAAAACUAUUGGAAAUGUGGCCAAUAUUUAUUUAUUGGUGUUAUAGUCCUUUAGAAAAUACCUUGAAUUGGAUUGAGGAACGCAGCGAAUGCUUCUCUUUUGAGGCAAAGUCUUUUAUUGGGAUUUACGGAUCAGACUGUGGCAUUGUCACAAGACUUGAAGUUUAAACCUAUUUUUGAACUUUUAUUCGCUUAGGU